GAGUUUGAUCCUGGCUCAGGACGAACGCUGGCGGCAUGCCUAACACAUGCAAGUCGAGCGAGUUGAUCCCUUCGGGGUGAAGCUAGCGGCGGACGGGUGAGUAACACGUGGGCAACCUGCCUCAUAGAGGGGAAUAGCCUCCCGAAAGGGAGAUUAAUACCGCAUAAGAUUGUAGCUUCGCAUGAAGUAGCAAUUAAAGGAGCAAUCCGCUAUGAGAUGGGCCCGCGGCGCAUUAGCUAGUUGGUGAGGUAACGGCUCACCAAAGCGACGAUGCGUAGCCGACCUGAGAGGGUGAUCGGCCACAUUGGGACUGAGACACGGCCCAGACUCCUACGGGAGGCAGAAGUGGGGAAUAUUGCACAAUGGGGGAAACCCUGAUGCAGCAAUGCCGCGUGAGUGAUGACGGCCUUCGGGUUGUAAAGCUCUGUCUUCAGGGACGAUAAUGACGGUACCUGAGGAGGAAGCCACGGCUAACUACGUGCCAGCAGCCGCGGUAAUACGUAGGUGGCAAGCGUUGUCCGGAUUUACUGGGCGUAAAGGGAGCGUAGGCGGAUUUUUAAGUGAGAUGUGAAAUACCCGGGCUUAACUUGGGUGCUGCAUUUCAAACUGGAAGUCUAGAGUGCAGGAGAGGAGAAGGGAAUUCCUAGUGUAGCGGUGAAAUGCGUAGA
rnacentral:rRNA from 1 species